GAUGAGGCAUGAGGGAUGUCCACCCAUGAAGAUUGAAAAACAAUGCUAGUAAGCAUUUCUUAUUUCCAAAAAUGGGUUGUGCAGCUUAUUUACUCAUGUUUUUAGGUUAUUGAUUUACCCAUAUUACGAGGGUUUAUAUCUUUGUAUUAAAGAAGGUGGACAGAUUUUUGUGGCAUGUGUUAAUUGGAUCAAGGAUGAUGAAGGGGUAGACAUAAGUGCUGCACAGGAUAGUAAUUUGAGUACUGGUCUUGUAUUGAUAAAAGUGUCUAAUUGGCGUACUUCUGGUGCUGGAUUAAAGGCACUAAAAACUUUAAAAUAUGAAAAGGCUGCUUUUGUUCAUGGAUGUUGUUUCAAGUGCUUGGGCAGAGGAAGAACCAGAAACAACUGCUUGGAAAUUAACGAGAGUGCUUUUAACCAUGGUAAUGCUAACAAUAUCACCUGCAUUGUGGUAAGGUUCCACCACUGGGCGUUAGAUUCGGAUGUAGUAGCCACUUGAGUUCCAUUAAGACCUAAGUGUGGAACCCGUUAAAUUGGUGAGAGUUUAAUUUCAGAAAAUUUAGAAUGAAUUGUCUCUACUUUCAUACGUAGAAAUUUAAAGUUCGGCAUUCUUAUUCUUUAUGUGCUAUGGUCAAUUUCUCAGUCAGCACCUUGUUACUAUUGUCACUUUAGACAAAGUAUUAAAGAUGUUUGUUGGCUAGCUGACAAAGUAUCAUACCAUAUGGUUAUUUGUAACUGGAUGUCCUUUUUUUAUUAAAUUAAAAGUUUUAUAAUGCUCU